CUGACAGCGCAGUCGGCCAGCAAGACCUUGGAGCCCGGAUGUGAGGGAGGCAGCCAGGACGCCCACAACUUUACAGCGGAGGGAAAGGAGGAUCGUCCAGACGGUCCAUGCCCAGGAUCCAGGUUCACACUGUCUUCUAUUUGCCUGGCAGUGACCCAUCUGGCCGGUUACAGAGCAAGGGAGGGAAUGGCAACCGGAGUCACACCUCGGCUCCGUGUCUCACUAGUUGUGGCCUCCAAUCGUGGGCAUCCCAGCAGGAGGAUACCCAGGGAGAGGGGGUGCCUCCUUGUCUCCAGAGAAAGGUGCCAGAGAAGCCUCCAGAAAGGUUAUCCCAGGAGACAGGAGCCAUGCGGCUUGCUGGGAGCUCACAGAUCAAGGUGGCAAGUCACACACACAUCAACAUGCUCCCCCAGCCUCACGCAUCCACCUCCACACCAGCCCCCUCGCAUCCUCAUCCCCGCCGAGAGAGAGCACGUGCAUGCACUCGCUCAAGCACACACAC
rnacentral:lncRNA from 1 species